ACAACCUUACUUGAACAGGAUCUGUUCUAUAGGGAAAUACCUCUGUAUCCUACAGUAUAAAAAAGGUGAUAACCAAAGCCAGGAUGAUGAAUCAGGACCGUGGAUUAGAGCGUAAUUAAUGGCCGAGAUUCAAGCUGUGAAUAUCCUGGCUAUAGAGGAUCGUACUCAGCUGCCUUGGUGGCUGAGAUGGUCGUGCGGUUGUCUGACAGGCC